CACUGCUAGGGCUCGCUGCUCUUUCAAACCACCUUGCCUCUGUUGCUUUGGCCACCGGAGGGGGCUUGCCCGACACGCCCCCGAUUCAAUGUAGCACACCAAGAACUACCUGUGAGGAUCACCUGUGGACAACAGAGAACCUGAGCUUGAGGAAGACACCCUGGUCUACCUGGUUCAGGGUGGAGACGCCGUUGCCUUCCCGAUGCUGUUUCCGCACAUUGUCUGUUCAUCUCCAGGUGCCUCUGGACAUUUGUCACACAGCCUUGAAAUCCCCUCCUCAAAGUUUUUUUUUUUUAUAUCAAUAUAUAAACAAGGUCAAGAAGUUAACGGAUGCCUCUCUUUGUGUGUGUGUGUGUGUGUGUGGUAAGUGUUUGGUGGAAGAGGAAGAGGGAAAGACUUAUGCAGUGCUUGCUUGCUUGAAAUGACGUAUAUUAUUUCAGAGUUCUCCUUGUGUAGGGUGUAGCACAGCCAUACUGUGGCCUAAACAACCUAUGAAUGGACUCAAAAUGGAUCGAAGCUCUUAUACGCAAGACGGUAACCCAAGAGACGGCAGCAUCUGUAUUCCAGUUUCAGGAACCAGAUGGGAAGACUGGGCGAAUCCUGCCAGCUCAAAGGAUUAUCGGUUGGCUGGCUGGUGUGUUUGUAAGGAGGACUUGUGAAAGCAAAGCAAACAAACAAACCAAAAACCCACAGGGGAGGGAAUGCUCUGUUCUCAAAACAGGGGGCUGGGUUUUUCAAGCUGUCUUGCUUCAGAAAUGUGUUUUCCUGGGUUAAGGAACCAUCGAUUGCAUCACAAAGGAGUUUCCAGAGAUAUGGCAGACUUUGGAUGACUCUGCUACCACAGAGCAGGAAGCUGGUGGAGAGGAAGAGAUUUCCUGCAUCAAGGAACUGAACUUCACCACAUUGGAAUAGGUCGUUUUGUGGGGGUGGGGGCCAACACUUCUGUGACCCUCCAGCACCAAAGGGGUACGCCAAAUAAAAAAAAAACAGAUUUUUUUCUCA
rnacentral:lncRNA from 1 species